GUGGGGAAUCUUGCGCAAUGGGCGAAAGCCUGACGCAGCCAUGCCGCGUGAAUGAUGAAGGUCUUAGGAUUGUAAAAUUCUUUCACCGGGGACGAUAAUGACGGUACCCGGAGAAGAAGCUCCGGCUAACUUCGUGCCAGCAGCCGCGGUAAUACGAAGGGGGCUAGCGUUGCUCGGAAUUACUGGGCGUAAAGGGCGCGUAGGCGGACAGCUUAGUCAGAGGUGAAAGCCCAGGGCUCAACCUUGGAAUUGCCUUUGAUACUGGCUGUCUUGAGUUUGGGAGAGGUGAGUGGAACUCCGAGUGUAGAGGUGAAAUUCGUAGAUAUUCGGAAGAACACCAGUGGCGAAGGCGACUCACUGGCCCGUUACUGACGCUGAGGCGCGAAAGCGUGGGGAGCAAACAGGAUUAGAUACCCUGGUAGUCC
rnacentral:rRNA from 1 species